UAGACAACGAUUGGAGUCAGAGAUAAUGAGAUAUUACAGAUGUCAAUUUUCAUCGUUGCAGGUUUUGUUUUCCCUGACAUUGAUUUUUAGUUGUUCAUUUAGCCUUGUUUUUAAUACACAGUUUGACAAUUUAAGAAAUAUGUCCGUACCAGAAAUAAAGGCAUUGGUACGGACAUGGUAUAGAUAUUACCAAAUUUUAGAACAACGAGGACUUACAACGGAAAUCGAUAGGCGUCAAAUGGGUAAGUCAUACUAACCUAUCUAAUUUUUGUUCAUAUGCUUGUUCUUUAAGCCAAUUUGUGCUUCAUUGUUUCAUAUUUUAUUGUUUUUAAAGUGUUUAAGAUUAUAUUAUAAUGUUGACUAUAUACUAUACCCCUAUUUUUGACAUUUUACCUAUUGUGUUUAUUUGUUUUAUAUACACACCGUUGUUAAUAAAACGAAAUUUAAUGCGACUGUCAUACAGGUGAGAGGUUUAGCUAGCUUCAAAACCAGUUUUAACCCACGAUUUUCUACAUAAGAAAAUGCAUGUUCCCAGCCAGAAAUAUGACAGAUGUUAUCGAUUCGUUUGAUGUGUAAGAGCUUUUGAUUUUGGCAUUUGAUAAGGAACUUUCCUUUUUUAGUUCAAUAUUUUUGUGAUUUAACUUUCUUUUAUUUACAAAAAUAUUGUCGUAAAAAUACUUUUGAAAAAGGGUAAAAUGAAUUUUCUAUUCACGCCAAAGUGUAUGAACAUGAUGAAACUACCUUUUAUUUUGUUUCCUAUUCUAUGGUUUUGGGUAGCAUCUUUGAUUCUAGAAAUGUAGCGGUUUAUAAAGCUUUAUUAAAGAUCCAAGUCUUCUAAUUUAGAACACCAGAAGCGUGUUUCGUUUAUAUAACCCUCACCAAAUAUACUGAAAGAGGAAUUCUUUAUCAGCAAAAACAGAUACAAAGUAAAAAAAGAUUGCUAAAAAUUUAAGCAAAAUCGUGAUAAUAUCAUCAAAGUCAUUUCAUGUGUGCUUCUUUUGUAUGUUUCGAUGUUUAUAAAUCAAUUCUGUAUAUAAGUGCCUGACCCAAAUCAGGAGCCUGUUUUUAAUUUGUGGUCAUUUGUUGCUGUUUUACAUAUUUGUGUUUCGUUCUUUUUUUGUACAUUAAUUAGGCUGUUCGUUUCCUCGUUUGAAUAGUUCUACAUUAAAUUUGGUAAUUUUGGAGCUUUUAUAGCUAACAAUGUGGUAUGAGCGUUGCUCAUUGUUGAGGGUCUUACGGUGACCUAUAGUUGUUACUUUUUAUGUCAUUUUAUCUCUUGUAAAGAGUUGUCUCAUUGGCUAUCAUACCAUAUUCAUCACUUUUUUGUUUCUAUAAAUGAUAUAACAGUAUAAGUAUUUUAGGCAAGGUUCAAUUUAUAAAAACACAGAUAUACAAUGAUGCACCAUUAUGAUCGAAAAAAAUUUAUUGGAAGUCUUUGACGACGGCAUGAAUUUUUAUCAAAUAUCUUCAGCCUCUCUGAAAACUAAGAUCAGCAUGAUUGGGUAAGCAUUUUCAUUCAUGAACUAUUGUGGAUCAAUCUUUCACAUUUACUACAGAUCCUUUUGAAUUUAUGCACCCUGAAAUUUAUGACCGGUAACAAAAAUGGAGUGUUCAGUAUUACAAAUACCUUUUUUGCCAUUGUUAACAAACAUAAAACCGCUGGGAUAUUUUUUUGUCUUUGCUCCAGAAAGUGUUCUAUACCACAAACAAUUUGUGUUUAGAAAACUAUAAUUUUCAAAAUUGACAUUAAAAAGUAAAUGUUGUAAUAUUGCAAUUAAAUAAAUAUCUAACAGAGGAUAAAUAUAGUUGAUUGAAGCACGCCUGAAGCAAAACCGUACCAUAUAGAUGGCUAUAUAAAACUCAAUCAUGACUAAAUGUGAAACUCUCUCUUUUUCAAUUCGCAUUAUUUCAUGUAACCAAGUGCAUUAUUAUACGAUUAAACUACCAGCCCACUACAUAGCUAGCAAUUAUUGUUCUUUUCAUACUUCAUACUGUCUUUAGCUUUACAUUCUGAUCAAUUGAUGUACGUCGUACGCGCGAUUCCACGACAGAGUUUAUGUUCUAUUCAGUCCCACUACUUAAAAUCUUUCAAUCCUUAAUAAGUUGAUUUAACAUACAUAAAUAAAAUACAAAUAUAUAAAAACAGCAACGAAUGAGCUUGUUCAAUUUGAUAUAUAUCUUUUUGUGCUUCUUUGUUAAAUAUAUUUUGCUUUUAUUGUGAUUAAGAUUAUAACACAAUUUUGACUGCUGUACCCAUAUUUUUGACAUUUUUACCUAUUAUGUCUGUUUGUUUUAGUCACGUAUCGUUGUCAAUAUAAUGACAGUUGAUGCAACUGUCAUACAAGUGAGAGGUUUAGCGUUAAUUAUCAUCACCUUGAUCGACUAAACGAGCAAGUGCCUUUGGUUUCAGCAAUUAUCAUUUUCGACUACUUCUUCUUGACUUGACAAAUUAUUGUAGACACUUUGGAAGCAUAAUCUUAUGGCGUAUUUGUUGCAGUCAAAUAAGUUAUAGUUAUGGGUUUCGGUUUUUGAAUGAUUUUCUUUUUAUAGUAAUUUCUUUAUAAUAAUUGUUUGUUUAAGGACGAUUGUUAAAGUUUUCGAGAAACACAUGUCUUACUAGUUUCGGGUUCAAACUAGUUUGGAACAAAUUUGAAUGACAAAAAAACGAAUGUUAGAAUUUUUACAGGGAACUUAAAUAAAUUAAGAUACAACAAAUUUGAAGUAACGAUGUAUAUGUUAUGAUUGAUAAUAUGUGGUAUUCACUUGUAUUAGCAUGGACACAUCUGAUUUCGUUGGAGAACGUUUGACCUGAUCUGGUAAUAAUUAUUUUUUUAUAAAUCAAAAUGAUUUUUUUUCCAAAUGGCUUCACAGUGGUCUUCUUAAUUUAUAUAAAGAUGAAAAAACAAAACACAAAACAAGAAAGAAUAUAAGAUGUGCGUAAAUACGAGAACAACAUUGACUGCUAGAAUACACAAGUUAUGAAAAAAAUCUUUCAAUGGGAAAUCGCUCGAGUAAAGAACAGUUGAAACUAAUACCAAAGAUCAUUCAUGGAUAUCAAAUUCUCGAAAAGAAAGAAAGCCAGUAGGAUAUAUAUCUAACAUGCUUAUGAGGUGGUGUUUAUAUAGUUUAUUAUAUUGAUUAUCGCAAUCUUAUAAUAGUGGUAAGUUAAAUGACAAACAGUAUGAAUAAAACGUACAAUGAUAAUCCGUAGAAAAAAAAACCCACAUGCGUGAGACUUUCUUUUCCGUUUCUUAUCUCUAUUCUAUUUGAAAAAAAUCGAUAUAUAUCGAAAUGCUGUUUUUUUUAUAUAAACUUGUUCACUGCUUAAUGGCGUUCGAAAAAAUCUGGAUAUUUUAUUUUAACAGCUUUCGUCAAGUUCAACCUGCUUUAUUUUUAUAAUGAAUUGGUUUUCAAAGAAUGAACUUAAACGACAAAAAUAUGAGAAUGUACAUGGGGAAUGUGUUAAAGAGAAAACAACUCGACCAAAGAGCAAGCUCAAGUCCACCAAUUGGUCUCCGACACAGCGAUAAAAUAUUGUACCAGGAGGCGUGUUUCAGCUGGCUCCUAAAGAUAAAUGUGUACUUGUUCAGUUAUAAUGGACGUCGUACUAAACUCUGAAAUAUAUAAAAAAACUAUAAUUAAAACUCAUACAAACCAAACAAAGGCCAGAGGCUCUUGAUUUGUUACAGGCGCUAAAAUGUGCAGUGUUAAACAUGUUCUGUGAGAUCUCAACCCUCUCAUGUACCUCUAGUCAAUGUAAAAAAACUUUAAAACUAUAAAAUGAUUCGUUCUGAUCAUGUUAUACAUUGCCGUAAUUGUAUCGAAUUAAGUCGUAGAGCUUAUUAAACUUUUAUGUUUAUGGAUUUUUUGACGUUUUCAAAACGAAAUUAACACUGUUCCAUUUCAAUCAAUUGUACAUUUCAAUAUACAAAGGCCAUAUUGGACUCAUCCGAUAGAUAAUUGGUUGAAGUUUCCAGUAAUUUAACUGAAAGAAAAUAAUCCUUUCAUUGAUCACGUGGUAUCUCUCACAAAAUAACGUGACUUGCUAAAACACACGAAAAAGUGUACAGUUCAAGUGCAUGACAUUUAAUGAUCAAAAUAAAACAUACUUUUAGUGUAAAAGCAUUCACGAAAGAAUAUUCACUGAAUAAUUAUUGAUUAUCCGGCAUGGUUUAGUACCCUGGCUAAGAAUUUUCAAAAACAGAGAGAGGAAAGGGGGUGGUAGAAAUAUAGAUUUAUUCUUAACUCAACUUAAGCAUGCAUUUCAGUUGUGUAAAUGAAACUGAAAGUAAAGUUAAGUAAAGUUAAGUUUCAUUUAGAAUGGGAAAUUUUGUUUUUCACCCCAGCAGUGAGGUUUGAACACUAAUUUUUCUGGCGUCAUAUUUUUCAUGUUACCACUGAGCAAAGAACCCAUAAAGUCAUGAAAUUAAAGUAUCUAUGUCCACUUCUCUGUAAGAACCCAUUUUGGGAGAACAUAAUCCAACUUAUUUCUCAAAGGAAGCUGGUAUCGCAAAUUACUAUAUUUUUAAACCAAUAUUUGGGAAAGUAAUUCAGUUAAUGUUCCUAUUUUUCAUUGAUAUGUAACUAUUUCUUCAUUUAAGUGAUAUGGUGUCCAACAUCCUAAUAAUCAAGCAUUAAAUAAACGAAGUUUUGUAACUGUUAUUUUGACUCAGAUAACAAUUUUCAGGACAGUUUAGAUAUUUUCAUCUCUUUUACCAUAAAAACUGACAAACAAAACAUGAAUUUUUAGUGCGUUUAGAGUUUGCCUUAAUGUUGAUACUCUUUGAAUCAGAUAUCUUAUAUGUGUACAGGUUUUGUUUACAGUUUUAAUAGAAUUCUAGUAGAAAAACACCCCUCAGCUAUCAAAAUAGUCAGAUGUUUUUUGAUAUAAUGUUAACUACUUAUCCAAAAAUGUGUCUUAUCGGUUAAAUUGACCGAUUGAAACGUUAAAGGGUUAAGUUAUUAAGUAUAUUCUUUGCUUUAAAAUUUUGAAGUUUUGUACGCACCACAGUCAUAAACAGUUAUUUUAAUUUGCUCUGAUUGAAUCCAUUUGUUUAUCUUAUUCGUAAUCUAACUUCUGUUUUGUAAAAUCAUAAAUAACAUAGACUUCAUGGAUAAGAUCUAUUCCAUACAGGAUUCUAAAGUAAAAAGACAACGAUGUGUUCUCAGUGCACUAUUUCAGGAAUGCAUCUCUUUUUGAAAGGAAACUAAUUUAUUAGAUUUAUGAUAACUGAACCAAAAUUCUGUGUUUGCAGCUGUAUAUAAAUAUUUUAAUGAACUUUUUAAAAUGCAAAAAAUAUUCACAAAACCAUACCAGUAUUUUCAUCAAUAAAAAUACUUACUAUGUUCUCGAAUGAAUUCAUAACGGUAUUUUAAAAAAAAACCAUAAAAUUGUAACCUGCAUCUAAUUUAAAAAGCAGAAUAUAACAUACUUUAUGUUAUCAUAAAAUAAUACGUCACAGGAUCCAGUUUAUGAGUACAUAGACUUGGUUGUUAAAAUGUUUAGGUAUUUAAACAAUUGCCUAUGCUUUUAAAAUCUGAUGAGAGCAGUAAGGGUAUAGUUUAUAUGAUCGUCUUAGCCAGCAGCUGCGAAGUCACAAAAAAAUAUGUCCUUGGUUUAUCGCGAUAAUCAGUAUUAAAAACAAUUGAAUAGAACAUUUUAUCUCGAUAUCGUUAGAUUUCAAUAAAAGAAAGUGUUAAUUAGAAUGCAAAUCAUAUCACAGAUAUAUUAGUUAGUAAAAACAUAUUACAAAUAGCUAUGAAAUGACUUUUUGAAUUCAUCUCAUCCAGGUUUAAUCGUUUUUGUUUUCAUCGAAUAGCUCUAUUUGUAGUAUUUCUAUGCUGCUGUAAAAUCAUAUAACAUAUAACAUUUUGUAUGAAAAACGGAAUCAUACCAAGAGAUGCACAUAAUCAACGGUUUCAUAACCUUAUGAUACACCAAAAAGAAGAAUUCCUUCCUAAAGUUAUAUUUUAAUGCCCAAACAAGGAAAGACGAGUUAAAUCAAAGACGUUUUUAGAUUGUUUUAUUUUUGAUAAUCCUACUCAUGGCAACAAUGUUGUCAUAAAGAGUUUAUUUGAAUAAAAUUGUUCAUUUGCAGUACAUUUGAUUCCUGUCUAUCAUGUAAAACGAGGGAUUUUCGUUAUGAAUUUCUUUGUUAUGGAAUCAUCAGGUGGUACAUAUAUUCUUGCGAAUCUCAUUUUACCUAUCUAAUUACAUUUUCAAGGAUACUUUGAUGUAUUUGAGCUUUUGAUUUGGCCGUUUGAUCAGGGACUUUCCGUUUAGAAGGUCAGUAUUUUUGUGAUUUAAUUGUUUUAGGGAUUAAUUCUCUUAAUCCCAAAUAGCGAUUAAAAAAAAAUACUUGGUAAGAUGUCGUACUCAGUUUAACUUCAUUAUCUGAAACCUUACACUUUAUAUUGUAUUUAUAGUGUUUCAUAGAUCAAAUUUAUUCGUACGUCGUAUGUAUUCUAGGCUUUGUAAAUAGGUCUUUUGAGAUAAGCCCACUUUUUAAGGGGACUCUUCAUAGUUUGCCGUUUGAUGUGAGCCAAGGCUCUAUGUUGAUUUUCUCCUUGGAAAAUGGAAUUUAGAAUUAAAUUGUAAGAAAUGUCUAUUCGAAAUAACCUCAAAAAUGUUGUACACUGUACAAAAAUCUACUUAGCGGGUUAUGACGACUACAAAAGAGGGACGAAAGAUACCAAAGGGACAGUCAAACUCAUAAAUCUAAAACAAAAUGACAACGCCAUGGCUAAAAAUGAAAAAGACAAACAAACAACAGCACAAACGACACAACAUAGAAAACUAAAGAAUAAACAACACGAACCCCACCAAAAAACUAGGGGUGAUCUCAGGUGCUUCGGAAGGGUAAGCAGAUCAUAUUUUUCAAGCUCUUUCUUCACAGACAGAAAAAUUAUUACAGUUAUUCCUUAAAUUGAAUUAAAUGCUCUGAGAUAUUCAUAUUUUAAAUUCAAACAAAGGUAAAACACACAAUAACACGUUUCAUUUAGUAACAUAUAACUGGGAGUAUAUAACUGAAAAUGAAUCUGAUAGGCUUCUCAGUAUCUUUAUAAAGUCUUUCACUAGGAUUUUGGAAGAGUUUGAUAAAAAAUCUUUCGGAACAACUCCAUAUAUAAUCACAUAAUUCAAAACAUGCACAAAUACAAUGAAUUGAUAAGAAUUAUCGUAAAGUUGAUAUAUUUUGCAUAAAAAAUAUCAAUACGUGUGUGAUUUAUUUGAUUAUGAAUGUUUUAUAACAGGUUGUGAAAUUCACGGUUACUAGGGAAGCUUUCGGCGCCAUUUUUCUAUGAUCCCGUUUACAUUCGUUUCCAUUUGUGAUUUGAAGUUACAGAUCACAAGUUCGAUACACUUGACUUACUUAUUACUUAGUCAUUUUAUUGUUAUGGAAAGCUUUUGAAAAAUAGCGAGUUCGAGUUUUACACAUUUUCUGUUUCCGUAUCAUGUAAUUCAUUCACUGUGACCCGAUGAUGAAAUCGGUUAUAACUAGGUAGCGUGAAGUGCAGUCAAUAUACAAUGUAUAUUGUCACAAAACGCGCGUCUGGCGUGAAUACAAUAUUUACUCCUGAUAUCUAUGAUGAGUGUAUGUCCUGCAUAUAGAAAGAACAGGAUACGUCUAAUAAAACUACGAAGAUUAAAUGAUCAAAUAUAUUGGAUACAAAUAAAAUAUGAUAUGAUGAUAUCGAUAAUGAGAAAACAUAUGAUUGAGAACAUCACAAAAAAAGUGGGAACCACCGGCUGACCAGCAUAACAAUCAACUGGUAAAUGAAUAUGUGUGUAUACCUUCUUAGAACGACACUGAAUAUUAUUUACGUCUCUGGUUUAUUUUAUUAAACCUAUACAUUAUAUACAGAAUCCGAAAUAUGACGAAGCUUUUAACGACAUACUUAAUAUAAAGAUUAUAGCUACAAAAGACAUGUAUAUGUAUAAAACUCAACCUUACGGAUAUAUUAGACACCUUAUCAAGCUAAUCAGUUACAUAAGAAUGGAUUUGCGCUUUGAUUUGAUGAUUUUUAUUAAAAAAAAUUUCAUUUCUGUUAAGAUCAAAUUUAAGCAUACACAUACAUAUUUGUUUAGGGUUUACUUCAAAUACUUAAAAUUUGUAACAUGUUUAAGGUAUAAACUUACAAAAUAAAAAUGAUUGAUAUCAUUAAUUAUAAUUUUGUUUGUUUUGUUUGUUUUUUGUUUUUUUUUUAAUAUUGAACAUAUUUUAUUAAUAAUCACCUGUUUUGUUGGGCUUGAUUUUUGGUAAACAUAGAUAGUUAUUUAUGUAAGGUAAUUUAUUUUAUGGCAUAUUUCUUAAGCAGUCAUAUUCAAAUUCAAAUUAGAAUGUUAAAGAUAUACAUUUUGUAGUUCCAUGUUAAUUCGCUGUUUUAGAAUCUUAUGCAUUCUGAGUAAUGUUUUCAAAAGUGUACACAAAAGCGUCAUGAUUGGUAAUGACUGGUUUGCAGCAUGCCUAUCAUUUAAAUUCAACCAAUGGCGUGACGUUAUUUUCAAUUUGGGGUACGAAUAAAGGCAACAGUAGUAUACCGCUGUUCAAAACUCAUAAAUCCAUGGACAAAAAACAAAUUCGGGGUAACAAACUAAAACUGAGGGAAACGCAUUAAAUAACAAAUAUAACAUCAAAACCAAAUACAUGAAUUUGGGAUAGAUAAGUAUCGUGACACGUCUUAAAGUAAUGUGAAUUCACAUUAAAAAAAAAAAGAGAAAACAAACGACACAACGGAAACACAACGUUAAAAUGUAACACACACAGAAACGAACUAUAAUAUGACAAUGGCCAUAUUCCUGACUUGGUACAAGAAUUUUUAAAGGAAAAAAUGGUGGGUUGAACCUGGUUUUGUGGCAUGCCAAACCUCCCUUUUUGUGGCUAUGUGAAAUAUAACAUUAAAUGACAACACAACAUUACAGGACAACAAUAUAGAUAAAUAGGAGAACACAAUUGACAAAGAAACACACGAACAAUAAAAUUACUCAUAGUUCUUUAGAUUCUGAAACGGCCUAUAAAGGAUAAGUGGUUUUUGUGAUAUUCCUUUAUUGUAAAAUACAGUCUAAACGAAUAAGAAUAAAAUAAAUUUAUCUAUGUGUAGUUUUUAAUAAUCAGAAGCAAUUAUUAGCAUCCCUAAAAAACAAAAACCUGCCCACUUAUUUUAGGUCACUAAAUAAUAUAUAUUAACAUGGAAUAGUGCGAAGUUUUGACUUUUUCCCGGGUCACAUUUGUCCCAGUAUAUGUUUCACUUCUUUGACGCCAUAUAAAUAUUAGUGUUAUCAAAACGACAACAUUUUUCAUUUAAAAAGAUGUUAGAAAAACCAACAGAAAUGCGUAUAUGUUCGUUGAGUUUUUCUUCAUUAUGUACGUACAUUCAGAGACCAUUCCAAAAAAUAGAAAUAUCGAAAAAUAGCUGACUAUACGUUCACGUUUUGCCCACUGUGGACGGCUGCAUGGUGAACUUAUAUCCAUUUUAUUUGGACUCAGGUAGAUGUUUGUCACUGAUAUUCUGCGUUUUCAUGAAAUUGAUUAAGAAAGAUAUUUGAACGAUUUGUACAAAAUGAGUCUUAUAGCAGAUAUCUCCAUUGUAAUAAGACAGCAAGUAAUUAACUGAAGCAAAUCUUGUAUGACAACAGAAGGAAUAUUUUGAUAUGCUUUAUGUUUUCAGAACAGCUGUUAAGAAUGGUUGCACCAAUGAUGAGAACAAGAUCGUUAAAACGAACCACAUCAACACAUCUACGAUUACCACACUUAUCUUCAACGACCAAAGACGGAAUAAAUGG
rnacentral:lncRNA from 1 species